rnacentral:tRNA from 1 species
CAGGAAGUAGUUUAUGGAGAAUACCAGCUUUGGGUGCUGGUGGUGGGAGCGAGUCUUUCCUUCCUGA